UUAAAAAAAAUUCCCUUCCAUCUUCUGCCUUCUUUCUCUUUUUUUCCUUUUUCCUUCCUAAAUUUCCGCUCUUCCAUAUUUACCCAAAGAAAUUGUCCUUGGGGGUUAUUCCGGGUUGGUGAGAAGUUUUAGGAUGGGAGGAGGAGGAGGAAUCCUUCGGCAUCAUCUAUAAGCGCUUCUCCCUCUCCCUCUUCGAGACCCCAUCCGAUUGCAUCCCUCUUUCCAGCUCCUCCUUCUCUGAACCCCUCGCCGAGGGCUCCCGCAUCGCGCGUCUCAUCUCCAAGAGUUAAUUGGGGGAGCUACGUUAUAACCUCGAUCGAGAGGGUGCUCGAGGGGUUGUUAUGUGAGCUCGAGGUGUUGUUCUGUGAAUCAAAAACCAUGGCCGGAGAGAAUUAUGUCUUGGUCUGAGACGAGCUCGGCUUGGCUUCUACAAUCUGUAUGAUUGCAGUGUAGAAAUUUUCUUGGAUUUGUUCUAUUCUAGAAAAGAGAAGAAAUUUUGACUAAGUGAAGGAUUGAGUCUGUCACCACUGUGAGAAAAAUUGUGAUAAAAGAUUCGAGAGGAUGUAGUGGAAGGAGUCGAGGGAGUUCAAUCCCCCUCUCUUGCUUUAUAGCAGCGGGUUAUCAAAUAUAUUUUUUAUUUUUAUUUUU